UACGGAGGGUGCGAGCGUUGUCCGGAAUCACUGGGCGUAAAGGGCGCGUAGGCGGCCUGAUAAGUAGGGGGUGAAAUCCUGCGGCUUAACCGCAGGGCUGCCUUCUAAACUGUCGGGCUCGAGCACAGUAGAGGCAGGUGGAAUUCCCGGUGUAGCGGUGGAAUGCGUAGAGAUCGGGAAGAACAUCGGUGGCGAAGGCGGCCUGCUGGGCUGUUGCUGACGCUGAGGCGCGAAAGCGUGGGGAGCAAACGGG
rnacentral:rRNA from 1 species